GACGAACGCUGGCGGCGUGCUUAACACAUGCAAGUCGAACGGUAAGGCCCUUCGGGGUACACGAGUGGCGAACGGGUGAGUAACACGUGGGUGAUCUGCCCUGCACUUCGGGAUAAGCCUGGGAAACUGGGUCUAAUACCGGAUAGGACCCUGGGAUGCAUGUCCUGGGGUGGAAAGCUUUUGCGGUGUGGGAUGGGCCCGCGGCCUGUCAGCUUGUUGGUUGGGUGAUGGCCUACCAAGGCGACGACGGGUAGCCGGCCUGAAAGGGUGACCGGCCACACUGGAACGGAGGUACGGCCAAGGGUCCUGCGGGGGGCAGCAGUGGGGAAUAGUUCACAAUGGGCGCAAGCCGGAUGCAGCGACGCCGCGUCAGACAUGACGGGCUUCGGGUUGUAAACCUCUUGCAGCACCGACGAAGCGUAAGUGGCGGUAGGUGCAGAAGAAGGACCGGCCAACUGCGAGCCAGCCGCCGCGGUAA
rnacentral:rRNA from 1 species